UUGUCGAACGUUGUGCGAGGAAUGUGAAGGCCUUAGUUGUAAUCAUAGAAGUUUAUGGUUGUCAUAGUUACGGGGUUACGAGUGAUACCUUGCGCUUAGGAAUGUAAAGAUUUGUUGUCUAAGUAGCAGAAGACAAUGAUGGACAAACCGCAGAUAAUUUGCCAUGUUGAAAAAUCAUUGCCAUUUUCACUUUUUGAUGGCAAGUGGAUCCCUUGUUCGGCGAAGUUCGUAGUUCUAGGAUCCAAACCCAAGGGAACUGGCGCUCUCCAGAUUUAUGAAAUAACAGAAGGCGAUGUUAAACUACUCCAUGAGGUGGAGAAAAGCAAGCCAUUUAAAUGUGGUAGUUUUGGAGCAUCUUCAUUGAGGGAACGGCAUUUGGCAACUGGAGAUUUUGAUGGCAAGCUAAAUGUUUGGAAUUUAGAGGACACUUCAAACCCAGUGUACACAGCUUCAGCACACAAACAAAUUAUCAACUGUAUUGAUGGAAUUGGUGGAUUAAAUGUGGGAUGUGGUGCUCCUGAAAUAGUAACUGGAAGUCGUGAUGGUAGUGUGAAGGUAUGGGACAUUCGACAAAAGGGGAAACCUGUGGCUGUCAUGGAACCGGAAGAAGGUGAAGUUAGAAGAGACUGUUGGGCAGUAGCAUUUGGCAAUUCAUACAACUCAGAGGAAAGAAUGGUAUGUGCUGGUUAUGAUAAUGGUGACAUUAAGCUGUUCGACCUAAAAACAAUGGAACUUAGAUGGGAAACAAAUGUGAAAAAUGGUGUUUGUGGUCUUGAAUUUGACCGAAAAGAUAUUCCAAUGAAUAAACUCGUAGCUACAACUCUUGAAUCAAAAUUUUAUGUGUAUGAUACAAGAACAUUUCAUCCCAAGAAAGGUUUUGCAAGUCUGUCAGAAAGGGCUCACAAGUCAACAAUAUGGUUAGCGCGCCAUUUACCACAGAAUCGUGACAUUUUUGUCACUUGUGGAGGAAGUGGCUCAGUAUGUUUAUGGAAAUAGUCAGUUUUACAAGAUUAAUGAAAGCAGUGACUGAAUGACUCCUAGCAUUAGAAGAGUUAAUGGACCCACUGAUAGGGGCCACUUGAUGUUUAAAGACCUCCAUGUCAGACUGCUGUCGAAUUUUUGAAGACAACUUGAGCACACAAUCUCUUGUCUUUAUUGUGGCCAGAUAAUCACCAAUGUGUCGCCAUUUGGUUGCCAGCCUGACAGUGAGGCAGACUAAAAUCACGAAACGGAAUUUUGAAACACAACAGUUAUUUUAACUGUAAUCAGGGAGGUUGGAGGGAGGAUUGAAGUGAUCAAUUAUCCUGCACAGCGAGUGAAAACAACAGAUGAUGGAGCAGUAGGUGUAGUGGGGACAGUUAGUUUACUGCAAAACAACACAUUAUCCAGUCAGCCAAUCUCAAGCUAUGACUGGAAUCCAG